rnacentral:misc_RNA from 1 species
AAGUCGUAACAAGGUUUCCGUAGGUGAACCUGCGGAAGGAUCAUUAGCGAAGUUCGGAAUGCAUGUUCGGUGUUGAUGCUGCCCAGCAAUGGGAUGUGCUCGCUCGGAUGUGUGUCCCUUCUCUAUCCACCCCACUGUGAACCGAGCGUGUGAGCCGAAGAGAAAUCGGAUGCUCGCAUGCAAACCUUUAACAUACCCCAAUUAAGUAUCAGAAUGUACCUUGCGUUAACUCGCACAAAUAUAACUUUCAACAACGGAUCUCUUGGCUCUC